rnacentral:lncRNA from 1 species
GUGGAGGAAGCCUUAACCUCCCAGAACUUGAGUCUGGAAGGAGAGUGGGUCUGAGAUCUGAUCCUUUGCUCCCCUCCAGUCACACAAACUUAACUCGAAGUGUAUGGUAAUGCCAGCUCCAUAUCAAUGACUCAGUUUCCAGACUUUUGCAAUUAAUAACUCAAGGAAGGCAGCUCAAAGAAUGUCAUCUAAAGUUCAGCAGCAGGAAUACAACACUAAUGACCCUCCACGUUGGUUUGGCUAUGAUAGGGAAGGAAACCCUGUUACAGAGCUUGACAACAUAACAUCAUCUAAAGGAGCCUUAGAAUUAACAGUGAAAAAGUCAACAUACAGCAGUGAAGACCAAGCAGCGUGACCUUCAGCCUCAAGCAGGAAGAACAAAAAAUCAAGAACUUGGCAAGUUUUCUCCAUUUGUUGCAAGUAUGUUUACUAGCUGAAUCUCAAUAACAAUGUAAACAA